UGGGUUGUAGCUCAGUGGUAGAGCACUCACUUGGCAUGUGUGAGGCACUGGGUUUGAUCCUCAGCACCACAU
rnacentral:tRNA from 1 species